rnacentral:rRNA from 1 species
UACGUAGGGUGCGAGCGUUAAUCGGAAUUACUGGGCGUAAAGCGUGCGCAGGCGGUUUUGUAAGACAGGUGUGAAAUCCCCGGGCUUAACCUGGGAACUGCAUUUGUGACUGCAAGGCUAGAGUGUAGCAGAGGGGGGUAGAAUUCCACGUGUAGCAGUGAAAUGCGUAGAUAUGUGGAGGAAUACCGAUGGCGAAGGCAGCCCCCUGGGCUAACACUGACGCUCAUGCACGAAAGCGUGGGGAGCAAACAGG